UUGGAGACACCUGGAGAUGGGGUCUGGACACACCUGGAGAUGGUUUGGAUGCACCUGGAGAUGGUUUGGGCACACCUGGAGAUGGUUCGGGCACACCUGGAGAUGGUUCAGGAGCAGCUGGAGAAGGUUCAGGAUGGUGAGGAGAUGGUUUGGACACACCUGAAGGAACUUGGAUGCACCUAGAGAGGCUUUGGGAUCUCCAGGUGAUGAUUUGGAUGCACCUGGAGAUGGUUCAGGAACACCUGGAGGUGGCUCAGGAACAGCUGGAGAUGGUUCAGGAACAGCUGGAGAAGGUUCAGGAACAGCUGGAGGUGGCUCAGGAACAGCUGGAGGUGGUUCAGGAGCACCUGGAGAUGGUUUAAGAGCACUUGGAGAUGGUUUGGAUGCACCUGGAGAUGGCUUGGGGGCACCUCGAGAGAGUUUGGACACACCUGGAGUGGGUUUGAAUGCAGCUGGAGAUGGCUUGAGUGCCCCGGGAGAUGGUUCAGGAACACCUGGAGAUGGUUCAGGAACACCUGGAGAUGGUUUGGGGGCACCUGGAGAUGGUUCAGGAACAUCUGGAGAUGGUUUAGGGGCACCUGGAGAUGGUUUGGGGGCAGCUGGAGGGAUUUGGGGGCACCAAAAAGGACUUGAAGGCAGCUGGAGAUGGUUCAUGAACACUUGGUGAUGCUUUGGGAUGAUGAGGUGAUGGUGUGGACACACCUGGAGAUGGUUUGGAUGCACCUGGAGAUGGUUCAGAAACACCUGGAGAUGGGAUCUGGACACACCUGGAGAUGGUUUGGACACACCUGGAGAGGGCUUGGUUUAGGCACACCUGGAGAUGGUUCAGGAACACCUGGAGAUGGUUUGGGGGCACCUGGAGAUGGCUUGGGGGCACCUGGAGAUGGUUUGGGGGCACCAAAAGGGGCUUGGAUGCACCUGGAGAUGAUUCAGGAACAGCUGGAGAAGUUUGGACCCACCUGGAGAGGUUUGGGAGAACCUGGAGAUGUUUUGGAUGCACCUGGAGAUGGUUCAGGGGCACCAGAAGGGGCUUGGAUGUACCUGGAGGAGUCUGGACACACCUGGAGAUGGUUUGGAGACACCUGGAGGUGGUUUGGGACACACCUGGAGAUGGUUCAGGAGCACCUGGAGAUGGUUUGGACACAGCUGGAGAUGGUCCAGGAGCACCUGGAGAUGGUUGGGACACACCUGGAGAGGUCUGGGAGAACCUGGAGGUGUUUUGGAUGCACCUGGAGAUGGUUUGGGGGCACCAAAAAGAUUUUGGAUGCAUUUGGAGGGGUCUGGACACACCUGGAGAUGGUUUGGAUGCACCUGGCGAUGGUUUGGGCACACCUGGAGAUGGUUCAGGAGCAGCUGGAGAAGGU